rnacentral:misc_RNA from 1 species
GAUGAAGAACGUAGUGAAAUGCGACACUUGGUGUGAAUUGCAGAAUCCCGUGAACCAUCGAGUCUUUGAACGCAAGUUGCGCCCGAAGCCAUUAGGCCGAGGGCACGCCUGCCUGGGCGUCACACGUCGUUGCCCCCCCAUCUACUCCUUCGGGAUUGCGGGGGGCGGAUGAUGGCCUCCCGUGCGCCUCGCCGCGCGGUUGGCAUAAAUGCCAAGUCCUCGGCGACGCACGCCACGACAAUCGGUGGUUGCGAAACCUCGGUUGCCCGUCGUGUGCGGUCGUCGCGCAUCGAGGGCUCGAAAAAAUUGCCGGGUUCCGGCUCGGCUUUCAACGCGACCCCAGGUCAGGCGGGGUUACCCGCUGAAUUUAAGCAUAUCAAUAAGCGGAGGA